GAGCCUAGCCCGAAUGGAUUCGGACUGGCCCAGAUCAUUUGUAAUUGGUCGGGCCCAAGCCCGAGUCCGGCCCAAAUCCACCUCUACGUCUUGUUAUUUAUGCAUCCACUGUGCCUGCUAUUGUUACAGUCUUAUUUGAACAUUUUUGCAUGGAAAAACACAGUGAACAAUUUUUUUUGGUAAAGAAGGAUAUUACCAUAUUAUUAAGAAAUAGUAAAGCUGUACAUGAUAUAGAGACUGAAAAAAAGGCCUAGAGAUCGAGGUGAUUGCUUCAGUCAUGGAAGAUCAGUCAGAGGUCUAGCCGGUGCAGAUUGGAUAGUUGAUGGUUUACUUAUUGGAUCUGCCAGUUGUGGGAUCGUCAUAUCAUAAGGAGGUGGAGCACGGAGGAUUUGUGUGCCCAC
rnacentral:lncRNA from 1 species